UACGAAGGGGGCUAGCGUUGCUCGGAAUGACUGGGCGUAAAGGGCGCGCAGGCGGCCAUUCAAGUCAGGCGUGAAAGCCCCGGGCUUAACCUGGGAGGUGCGCUUGGGACUGGGUGGCUAGAGAUCGGGAGAGGAGAGUGGAAUUCCCAGUGUAGAGGUGAAAUUCGUAGAUAUCGGGAGGAACACCAGUGGCGAAGGCGACUUCCUGGCCUGUUCUUGACGCUGAGGCGCGAAAGCUAGGGUAGCAAACGGG
rnacentral:rRNA from 1 species